ensembl:lncRNA
UCAGUCUGACUAACCCAAUAGCGUAUGGCUCAAGAGGUUCAAUAAUAUAAUAACACCUACUAACCAACAGAUAAAGUGCCAACAAGGAAAAAGUGGUCUCUGCUGAACGCAGAAGGCUACAGUCAAAUUAUCCUAUAUUUGGCCCAAAUGACACCCUGUUCCCUAUAAAGUGCACUACUUUUGAACUGGUCAUUUAGGGUGCCAUUUGGGAUUUAGCCAGAAGGAUAUAAUAAUGUGUAUUACAUUCAUUUAAAUAAAUUUAACUAAAGACAACAGGUCUCUCCCUAGACCAGUUACUGGUUACAGACAACAGGUCUCUCCCUAGACUAGUUACUGGUUACAGACAACAGGUCUCUCCCUAGACUAGUUACUGGUUACAGACAACAGGUCUCUCCCUAGACUAGUUACUGGUUACAGACAACAGGUCUCUCCCUAGACUAGUUACUGGUUACAGACAACAGGUCUCUCCCUAGACUAGUUAUAGGUUACAGACAACAGGUCUCUCCCUAGACUAGUUAUAGGUUACAGACAACAGACUGCAACGCAGGGCUUGGGUCAAGAGAAGUGUUGUGUAGGAUGCCGUUUGAGGUGUGGCACUAUGGAAAGCAGCGUCUGGGAGGUCAAGGGUCAAAGACCACCCAGGCAGAGGUCAAGGGUGGGUGACCUCACUCUCUUUAACAGUACUCAACAU